rnacentral:rRNA from 1 species
UACGAAGGUGGCUAGCGUUGCUCGGAAUCACUGGGCGUUAAGGGUGCGUAGGCGGGGCUUUAAGUCAGGGGGGAAAUCCUGGAGCUCAACUCCAGAACUGCCUUUGAUACUGAGGAUCUUGAGUUCGGGAGAGGUGAGUGGAACUGCGAGUGUAGAGGUGAAAUUCGUAGAUAUUCGCAAGAACACCAGUGGCGAAGGCGGCUCACUGGCCCGAUACUGACGCUGAGGCACGAAAGCGUGGGGAGCAAACAGG